rnacentral:rRNA from 1 species
UACGUAGGGGCCAAGCGUUGUCCGGAUUUAUUGGGCGUAAAGAGCUCGUAGGCGGUCUGUCGCGUCGGCUGUGAAAUCCCGAGGCUCAACCUCGGGUCUGCAGUCGAUACGGGCAAACUGGAGUGUUGCAGGGGAGACUGGAAUUCCUGGUGUAGCGGUGAAAUGCGCAGAUAUCAGGAGGAACACCGGUGGCGAAGGCGGGUCUCUGGGCAACAACUGACGCUGAGGAGCGAAAGCGUGGGGAGCGAACAGG